UAAAAGGUAAUGGUGCAUUUGAACAAGUA
rnacentral:piRNA from 1 species